AUUUUUUUAAGAUUUAAUUUAAAAUAAAACCUGCUCAAUGUAAUUAAUAAAUAGCUGCAAUUCACUUGUACUAAGGUAGCAUAAUCACUAGUUUUUUAAUUAAAAAAUAGAAUGAAAGGUUAAACGAAAUAUAAACUGUUUCUUAAAUUAAAAUAAAUUUAAAAUAAAAGUAAAAAUUCUUUUAUCAUUAGAAAGACGAUAAGACCCUAAAAAACUUAUUCAUUUAGUUGGGGAGACUAAAUAAUAAUAACUUAAUUAAAAAUAUACUUAAUUUAUAUAAUAAAUCUAGAUCAAGUUACUAUAGGGAUAACAGCGCAACAUUAGUAUAAAGUUCUUAUUAAAACUAAAUUUUACGACCUCGAUGUUGAAUUAAUUUAACUUUUUAAAGCAAAAUUUUUAAAAGUAGGUCUGU
rnacentral:rRNA from 1 species